GGCAAUGAAGUGAACAAGUAUGGGAAUAAUGCAGAAGGCCAUGAUGAAGAAUCAAAAUUCAAAGGAUUGUUUACUAAACCAAUUCCAUUUGUUAAACCUAUUCUAAAGCCAGUUCCUGUUAUUAAACCUAUUCCAAAGCCAGUUCCUGUUAUUAAACCUAUUCUAAAGCCAAUUCCUGUUAUUAAACCUAUUCUAAAACCAAUUCCUGUUAUCAAACCUAUUCUAAAACCAAUUCCUGUUAUCAAACCUAUUCUAAAACCAAUUCCUGUUAUCAAACCUAUUCCAAAGCCAGUUCCUGUUAUUAAACCUAUUCCUAUUCCAGUUUUUAAUAAGCCUGUACCAAAAUCAAUUUCCAUUAAGCCCACACCAAAACCAAUUCCAGACAUAAAGCCAAUUCCCAGUGAAGAAGUAAAAUUCAAAGGUCUUUUCCCAAAACCUAUUCCCAAAAUUAAGGCAAUACCAAAGGUAAUUCCAGUUGUUAAGCCUAUUUAUAUUCCAGUUGUUAAGCCUCUACCAAAGAUAGUUCCCAUUGUUAAGCCAAUUCCUAUUCUUAAACCUAAGCUAGUUCCCAUUGUUAAGCCAAUUCCAAUUCUUAAACCUAUUCCAAAACCAUUUACUGUGAAAAAGCCAGUCCCUACAGUUGAAUCUGAAGAACUUUUGAAACCAAAGCCCUUGUUCAAAAAGUAUAUUCCUAAAAUACCAUUUCAUCACCAAUUCAAGAAACCAUUUGUAGCACCAUUGCCAAUUCACAAGCCAAUCCCAACUCCUUAAAAUGAUGAGACUCUACAUCUUCAAAAGUAUAAGGAUAUCCCUUCCAUUUGUAAUGCCUUUAUGUAAGAGGCACCAUAUUUAAUUCAACCUCAAUCAUAGUUUGGAUAAUCCUUUGGUACCCCUCUUGUGUACUGAAUUCCAAAUAUCCAAAUAUAUAUGUACUACAUGUUUUUCCUUAAUGAAGUUAUGUUAAAAUAAGAAAUGUUAAUGUAAUUCUUUAUUUUUGUUUUUAAUUACUAUUUCUAUUUGACAUAUUGAAGAGGUGACAUUUAAUUGUAAUUUUGUCGGAAUAGACAUUACUAUUCUUACACUUGACAAAUCCUACCAAUUUGUGAAGUCAUAUGUUAAGGGUGAUUGUAAGCCUCUAGGACUGGGUCCAAGACUGAGGAGUUAUGUGGUGUCAUAGGUAGAGUCCGACUCAUUUAAGAAAAAAUUUUAUAGGAUAGAAAUCAAUCUCAAAACAAGAUUUGAUCAAAGAUUAAUCAUUUAAUAGAUAAAUUUUGUUAAUAUCUUUUUUACAUUCAAGAUAGUUUUAAUGUAAGGUUAAAUUGUUAUAAAGGUAAAAUUGACAAUGAAUAGUGAGUAAGGACUAAAGGCAUGACCAAAUAUAGAAGGAAUAAAAGGAGAUACACAAAAUCGGAAAAAGAGCAAGAAAGAUUUGGGAGUAACUAAAGAUACGUUCAUAACUAAACUAAAUGUUUUAGUUCGAGAUUCUAAUUUUUCUUGGGUAGAACAAUCUUUUCAUUAGAAUAGUUUUUUUAAGUUUUAAAGGUGUGUCAUUAAACAACUAUAGAAUUAAUAAUAGUCAGAUAAUACAUAUUCUACAAAUAGACUUAUUUAGUUACCAUUAGGGAAACUGAACUUAAUCAAAAUAAUAUGUUUCAUCUAAGGUCAAGAUUGUACAUAUGUGAGGGUGAUUUUCUCUGUAUAAGCUUUGCUCGAUUAAAAAUUGACAUAUUUCUAUGUUUCCAUAUGCAUCAACUAACAUAUACCCACUAGGAAUGGCAAAGCGGGGCGGGUUGUGCGGGCUAGCAUCAACUCACAUAUACCCACUAACCCGCAUUAGUCUGCCCCGCAUUAGCCCGCAGCCCGCGCGGGCUAGCAGCGGGGCGGGGCGGGUUGGCCCGCUAACCCGCAAGAAAAAAAAAUGGAUGAAAGUUUUUCUAAGGCGGCAUCCAAUGUUAUUGAAAUUGAAGAAUGUCAAUAAUGUUUAUCUUUAAUGUUUUUGAAUUAAUGUUUAUGUUUAUUUUUAAUGUUUUGGAAUUAGGUAUUUUUAAUGUUUUGGAAGUGGAAGAAUAGUGCUAUUUGAUAAUGUUUUGAUGUUUGACUAUGUUUGAAAAUGAAGAAAAAAAAAUUUAGGUUUGAUAAUAACAAAUAUAUAGGUUUAAUUUGACAAUUUUUUAAUAACAAAAUGUAAAAAAAAAAAAGAACGCGGACUGGCCCGCAAACCCGCGAGCCAGCUCUUAUGCGGAGCGGGUCAAAAAUUCUAGCCCGCAUUACGGGCCAAGCGCGGGACGGGCUGGCCCGCUUUGCCACCCCUAAUACCCACCAACUUUUCUAUGUACUGUUACCCUCUUUAUCAAGACAAAGACAGCAAAAUUGGUUUCACAUUUUUUUUUUUCACAAAGAUAUUUACUUAAGAGGUUAAUUUUUUAUAUGAAUUUAAUGCAUUUAAAUAUUAGAUAAAGUGUUGACAGGAUUCAACCUCAGAUCUGCACCACCUCUGAAAUGUGCUGUAAUCACUGGUAUACCUGAAAAAACUGCAAAAAGAGAAAUGAUACAUUCAUUAUCAGAAUUCUAUCUAAUUCUUCGUGUGGUUGAUUUAAUUAUAAAUAUAUAUAAUAAAAGUUAAAUUUAAAAUUAAAUGAUAUAAAAAAUAUUAAAAUAAUAGUAUUGGAAGUUGUAAUGUCAAGUCAGAAAAAUAUGAGUCGUUAAUGUAUCAUUACCAUCUGUAUCAGAUGAUGAAGAUUCAUAGCAUAGACCCAGAAACCCUUGCGGGUCCUUAGCAGGAUUCAACUUCACUUGUUCUGCAACUGUUGAUUCCAACUUUUGGUAAACAUUAUCUGGCAAAAGGGUGAGUGUUGUCCCUGAGUCAAUUAUGAUGUUUCCCUCUGCACCAGUCUCAGAGGAAGAAGAAGAAGAAGAAGCAGCUCCAAAAGGUACUACACUGUCUCCAACAUUCAGUGAAUCCAAGGUUAGGAAGUAGAAUAUCUGAUUCUGUUGUUGGAUUAUAGGGGUUGAAACAGUUCCACUCCCAGAAACCACAGCAGCAUCUCCAAAACUGAGUUUGCUAGGUGAAGUUCCUGACAAACAAUAUUUUUUUUAUCAGAAUAAAUAAAAUAGAAUAAAACACUUGUUUCCCCCUUUAUACAGAUAUUUCAGGAAUGUCUCGUUGAUUAUACUCAAAGUGACAAAAAUAAACCUGCACAAUACUUGAAUAGACUCUACCUACCUGACAAACAAUAUGAAAACUUUCCUUCAAUUGUUGAGCUCAACUGAGAUAUGAGAGAGGUUGAUCCAGCAGAAAGACCAACAAUGCCAGAACCAUUGGCUUGAAAAGUCCCACUGUUGUCAUUUCCACACCCUAUAACCAUAUUAGGGAAACUCACAGAAGAACCUUCAGUGGAAGGAAGGGUUAGGGUCUCCACACUGAGAUCUCCUGAGGAAUGUGAUCCAUCACCAUAUUGAAUAGUGUAUGUGCAUUUGUUUCCAUCUUCUGAGCAAGAAGCAGUGGACAAAGAUGUGCAUGCCCUAGAAGAGCAAGGUAGGGUUUUGUAGGUGUUGGAUUGUGAAGAAUCAAAAAUAGGGUGUGUUUCUUUGUAACAGUUUAUGCAAGGUUGGCAUUGAAACCAAACAAUGUUGCUACCAGUGUCAACUAUGCUAAAAAUUUUGAAUGGUGGGGUUCCAACUGAAUAGGUCAUUAGGUAUUCACCUGAAUUUGGUAUAACUGGUGAUUCAACUGUGUCUAGGGCAAGAAAAGGUUUUGUGAGAUGAUUGGCACGUGCAAUGGAACGUUGAAUUGCUUUGGCAACUCUUUGAGAAUGAGUUUCUGAGGGAAUAUAGAAUGGUGAUUUUUCUGAAUCACGGUGAAUCAUUUCAACACUGAAGCCCUUAAGAGCUUUUGAGAGAGAAAUGUUGCAGAGAAACAGCAGAACAAGAACAAGAGAUGAAUAAUUUGGCACCAUUGUUGCCAUUGUUAACAUGCAGAGAGAAAGUGAAGAAAAAAGAUGAAUGAAGUGAAGAACAGUGUUAGUGGCCUUUUAUAAGAUCAACAGUGACUGUGAAAUUAUAAUAGGAGGGAAAGAAUUUUCCUUAAUGUUGUGAUUUUUUUUCAUUAUUUCUUCAUUUAAUUAUGAUUAUUCUCAAUAAAUUUUGUUUUCAGGCUUGUAUUAUUAAUUUUUUUAUACCUAUUUAAUUAUUCCAUACAUGUGGUGAAAUUAUUUUUUGGUUAUAUAUGUAAAGAAAUUUGUUCUUAAUCUUUUAAAUAAGGUUUCCAAAGUAGUGAUUUGGAUUUCAAACUCUCCAUUUCUGUAAAAUAUUUCUUCAAGAUUCACCUUUAAUAAAAAAAAUUAAUAAAAUACAUUUAUUUUUGUAAAUAGUUGUUUUGAGAUCUGAUAGUUUAUAGUAUUAACAUGUUAAUUUUUUAUCAAAAGGAAUUAACGAUAAUAUCUUAAUUAAAAAUUUCCUAAUUAAUAUAUUAAUAGAAUAAUUAAAUAUUAAUUAAAAAUACAUGUUAAUGUAUAAAUUAUUUUUAUUUUAAAGAUUCUAUGCAUUUAAUGCAUUUCCAGAUUUAGUUCUUUUUAACUGAGAAUAUUUGUUUAGGAAAUUUAAGAUAUUUCUUGAUAUUAAAAAAAUAUUUUAAAAAGUAAUUUUUUUCUAUAAUUAUAAAAUGAAACCGAUCUAAUGAUUCAAUCUUUCCUGUUGAAUUAUGAUUCAACUGCUUAUAAUAAAUAAUAAAAUAUAAAAUAUUAUUUAAAUAAAAAUAAUAAUAUCAUAAUUUUAUAAUUUUAUAAUACUAAAUUUUAAAAUAAAAACAUGGUUAUAUUUUAUUACUAAUAUUCAAAAGAAAAAUAUCAAUAUAAAUGAAAUAUGUCGUAAUAAUGAUGUUAAAUUGAUAAAUAUAACGUUGUUCAAUUAUAAAAACAAGUUUACUACAAAAUAAGAAAUAAAAAAUGAAAAAUUAAUGUAACAUCAAAUUAUGCAAAAAUUACACUACAACAAAAUCAUGAAAUAAAAAUCAAGUUUUAGAGAUCAAAAUAAUUAAUUUCUAAAUUUAGUCUCGAUUGCUAAUUAAAAAUAAUAAUAGAAACUAAUUUAAAAACCAAAAUUAUUUUUAGUUUCUAAAAUAUACUUAGUUACUAUUAUAACUUAUUAUUUUGGUAUCUAAAAAUCGAUUUUUACUUUUAUAUAAAAAAUAGAUAUGUGUCAAUAUAUACUUAAUACUUAACCAACUGUUUAACAUGUAAAAUCAAACUCUAACGCACCAUAACCAAAUAUAUUUUUAUAUUAUAGUAUGAUUAGUUUUAUUUUUUUGUUUUCAUUAUUAUUUUAUUAUAAUUAUAAUAAGAAGAAGAAUAAUAGUAAGAAUAAAAUAAAAAUAAUAAGAAUAUUAAAUUAAUAAUAAGAAGAAUAAAAUGAAAUGACAAUAAGAAUAAGAAUAAAAUGAAAUAAUAAUAAGAGUAAAAUAAAACAAUAAUAAGAAUAACAUAAGUAAUAAUAGUUAUAAUAAAAUAAAGCAAUAAGAAAUAAGAAUAAAAUAAAGUAAUAAUAAUUAUAAUAAAAAAAAUAAAAAUAAAGUAAUAAUAAUUAUAAUAAAAUAAAAUAAUAAGAAUAAGAAUAAUACUAAUUUUGAUAUGACAUAAAAGUGUAUUUGAUUUAAUGAUUUAGUGGUAUUUUUAUUCUGAUAUAGUAAAACAGAAAUAAAAAUUAAUUAAGAAACAUUUCUUCAAAUAAUAAAUUUUAAUAAACACUUAAUUAAAUCAAAAAUAAAAAUUAAGAUUGAAAAAUGAUACUUUUAUUGAUGACCAAAGACGAAUUUAGAAAUUGAAGAUCAUAAAAUUAUUUUAGUCCUUUAAAAUAAAAAGUGAUUUUUUUAAGUCUCUAAAAUUUAAAAAAAAAAAUCAAUCUUUCAAAGUAAUUUAUUCUGAAUGACUUUGUUAGAAAAUUUGUUAACACAUGACUAAUAUUAUUGUGUUUAAUUUUAAAAAUAUACAAUUUUUAGUUUAGUGACUUUCCCAUUUUUUUUUUCUUUGUUUUAUUUUUAUUAAGAAGUGAUAAAUUUAUAAAAACAACUUAUAAGGUGAGGUUUGCAUACACCGGAUUAUAUAUUAUGGGUAAUCCGAUAAUGACCCGAUAACAAACGGUCUGAUAAGCCUAAUAAACUAUCGCUGGAAUAUAUAGACUCAAAAUGACUCUGAUACCAUAUUAAGAAAUGAACUUUAAACAUAACUCAAUCUCGUAAAACUGACUUCAAAUAUGAGAUUUGCACAUACUUAUAUAUCAUUAAAUGUCCUAAUAUGUAAUCAACGAGGGAUCCCAACAAAAUUUGUAAUACUAAAUUUUGGAUUUUAGAAGUCUAAAUUCAUAAUCAAACAUAUCUUACAUUACUACUUGUUAAUAGAAUUUUUUCAAGUUUAAGAUGUUCGAAAAGCUCAUUUUUAAAAAAUUUAAUUACCUUAUUCUUAUUUGUCUCUACCUUUAUGGUCAAUAUUCAAUUUUGCAAAAUGUAGAAACGAAUAAGGUAAUUAAAUUUUUUAAAACUAUUAGAAAACCUUAUAAUCUGAGUAGACUUUUUAACAAAAACAACAUUAACAACUUAAAUGACAUUAUUUUUACAUUUAUCUUUUGAGAUUUCUUCUUAUAUUUAUAUUUAUCUUAGUGAAUUCGUGUUCAUGCAUUCUGUUCUUUGCCCAUUAAUUACAUUACCUUGGAUAUUAAUUGUUAUACACGGGCUAACUAAUUAUGUGAAUAAUUUCUAUAAUUUCUUAAUUAGUAAUUCAUAAAACAAGAUAAACUAGGUUUUUUAAAUAAUUUUUUUAUUAGUAAUAGAAAAUAAUAUAAAUGAAAAAUAAUAUUAGAAAAACUCCGAAAAAAAUCAUUGCAAAUACUUAUUUUUUUAAAAAAAUUUACCUAUUUUAAUAAAUUACAAAUUUUUUUAUUACAUCUCUUUCAUAAAUAUUGCAAAAACCUUAUCAUUGUGGGGGUCUAUGCUUUAUCAUUGAAAUUUUGCAACCCACCCUUAAAAGACAUUAAAUUGGAUAGCAACACAUUGAGAAUCAUGGAAUGAAUAUGCACAAGCAACUUUCUAAUAUCACCCACUUUCAUUUCAAUCAUUCUUCAAUAAUUUCAACUCAUAAACUUGUAUUACAAAAGUAAAUUGUAUAUAUUAACCUAAGCAUUUUAAAAAAUUGAAUUUUGCAUGGUUCUAUACUGGACGAGUCAGUUAUUCAAUUUUAGUUUUUGGUGACCAAUUCGAAUGUAUAAUAUAAUUAAGGCAUUUAAUAAAUAAUCAUGUUUUACCUAAUUCAAUUCGACUAUAUCAAAAUAUAUUUAAGACAUUUAAUAAAUAAUCAUGUUCCACUUAAUCUAAAUGACAUUUUUAAUAAAUUAGUUAAUAUAUCUCCUUAUAAAUGAUGGAUCACGCUAUAGAUCUUUGAUCCUAGAGUUUAUUUAAAAAAUUUCUUAUUUGAUAAAAUUAGGAAUCUCUUUUUCUAUUUUUACAAUUUGAUCAAAUUCUAUUCUAUCAUAGUUCUUUCUCUUGCAACCUUGUUCUUGGGUUUUGAGGUUUUUUCCUCAAUCAUAACAUCUUUUCAUCUAAGAUAAAAAAUUAUUUAUUAAUAAUAAAAAUUAUUUUAGAUAUUAAUAUUUUUUUAAAAUUAUAUUUAAUUUAAUUUAAUUAAAUUAAUAUAAUAAUUAUUUCUACAUAUAUUUCAAAAAAUAGUUUAUGUUAUAAUAAUUUUGUUGAAUGGUAUAUAUAUAAUUUUUUUUCUCCAAACUGUUUUUUUUUAUCUAUAUUUGUUUUGAUAAACUUAUCUAGUAAACCUUCUAAAAAAGAGAGAAAAAAUUAAAAAAAAAUCGUUUAUAUAAAUUAUUUAAUUUAUUUUUUUAAAAUUUGUAGCUAAAAUAAAUUUAAAUAAUUUUCACUUUUUUUUUCUUUUAUAAAAAAUUGUCAGAUCAUAGUUAAUUAUUUCUUGCAUGAAAAAUAAUAAAAUUGUAGAUGAUAGAUAGAGACCUGCAUAGACAGAUUCAUUAAUAUGUCGGGGGCUUCUUAUGUUUGUUUGUUUUUUAAAAUUUAAUUUCAAACUUGUUUUAAAUUAUUAUAAAAGCAAUAAGGAAUCGAAUCCAACUUUCCCAAACAUGAAUAGAAUCUAAAAAUAAUGGAUGAAGUUUUAAAGAAUUUACUUAUAUACACUAAAAUAAAAUAAUUAAUUCCUAUAUUGACCAAAUUAAAUAAUAUUUUAGAAACUAAAAAAUUAUUAGUAUCUAAAUAAAUUUUUUAUUAUCAAAUAAUUUUUAAAUUAUAUCUACUUAGAUACAAACAUUUUAGAUACCUUUAGAUACCAACUUAUAGAACUUAUAGAAUUUAAAUAAUUGAUAGCUAAUAUUUAGAUAAUUAAUACCAAUUUAAAAAAUAUUUAUCAAUAGUAAAUUUUAUUUUUAAUUUUUAAAAUAAUAUCUAAUUUAAUUAAUAUAGAAAUUAAUAAUUUUUUUUUUAUUUAAAAUUUCGCUUCUAAUUAUUGAUUUUCUAGUAGAGAUAUAUAUUAGUGUAUGCACCAAAAUUAAUAAUAUAAUUAAUUCAUAGUUUAUUUGACCAAAUUAUUAAAUAGCUUGAUUAUUAUAAAAGUAUUUGACACCUAAAAGUAUAUUAUUUUAAGAACUUUAAUUUAUAUAUAAGUUACUUUACAUAAUUUUUUACUCAAUUAUUUUUUUUGUUUUAUUACAUUUUAAUAUAUUAUUUAUUGUCUUUUUGGUUUCUUUUUAUAUAUUAUUAUUUAUUUUAAUAUUAUAUAAAUAAUUAAUAAUUAUACUAUUUUAAAUAUUGAUUGAGUUAUUUUUUAUUUUUUAUGUAGUUCAAAUUAAAAAUUUAAUAUUAUAAAUUGAAAUAACUAAUAGUUUAUUACAUGAUUUUAUAUAAAAGCUAAACAAUAGAAUUUGUAUAAAAGAAAUUUAAUAUAAGAGUAAUUUAAAUUGAGAAAUAAAAAAACUUUAAUUUUUAAAAAAUAAAUAAAAAAUACAUUUCAUUAGUAUUCAUUAAGUGAACUCCUUUAAAUAAAAUAAUUUGUUUAAAUAAGAAUAUAUACAUUUAAAAAAAAAAUAUUAAUUUUUUUAAUAAUAAAUUAAUUAUUUUAAUUUUUUUUUAAAUUAUAAUAAUAUUUUUGUAUAGAUAACAAAAUUUGUAUUUAAAUAAUGCAACUUAUACACGUAUUUUUUUUACAUCGUUUUAUAUGUAUUAACUAGUUUACUAUUUAAUAAAGACUUUUUAUUUAAAACACUUGUUUAUUAACUUAAUAUUCAUAUAUAUAUAUAUUUAAUAUAUUUAAUAUAUAUAUAUAUAUAUAUAUAUAUAUAUUUAAAACUUCUAUUAUUAUAAUUUAGAAUUAAAAAUCCACAUGCUUCAUCCUUUAAAAAAAAGGGAGAAAAUAAAAUAAAACAUUUUAAAAUACGUGGUCCCUUCAAAACGACACUGUUUCCUCUGCUAGAGAUCCACCUGAAAUCUGAGGUUCCUUCUGAUUGUUACCUCUUCUUCUCUCUCAAUAUCAAGCUCGAAACUUUUUCCAUUUUUGCUUUCUGGGUAGGUUCCAAAAUCUGUGUCAGAAAACUCUUUCACGAUUUUUUUUUCUUCUCUUUCGUAUUAUUCAUGUGUUUUUUCUAAUUACAUCAUGCAGCUAACUAGUUUUCCUUUUGCCUUCUUUUGGGAAAUUCUCAAAUUGCUUAAUUUUUUUAGAGGCGUUAAUUGUUAAAAGUCACAAGCAAUGGUGAAGGACACUGCCUACUAUGACGUGUUAGGUGUCAAUUUUGAUGCAUCUGCUGCAGAUAUUAAGAAGGCUUAUUAUGUCAAGGUAAUAAAUAAUGAAAUGAAUGUCCUUCACUUUCUCUGAUUUGUACAACCAGAAACUUAGAUUCGAGAAUGUUCUUGUAUUGUUACCUAAUCUGAUGGAAUGUUGAAUUUGAUUAUACUAUGUGUUUGUGCUAUGGAAUGACUAGGUGGUUAUAUAAAUAUGGCUUCGGUUUUUUUGUUGUUUAAAUUUGAAUAAACCAUCAAUUUCGUAUUUGAAGUAUCACCCCCUCAUCUAAAUGGUCCUUAAACUAAUGAAAUUAUAGAAGUUGUCUCCAUAGAGAGUAUUGAAUAUCCAUAGAGAGUAUUGAAUAUAUUUUACAGAAAUUGAGGAACUGGUUUGAAGAAUUUUUCAACACAUGAGGGACUAUGUAGCAUGAUUUGUAAUACUUUAGUGAUUACAUGUAUGCUUUCAUUAGUUUAAGGACAGUUUAGCAGAGAGGGUGACGCUUCAUGAACUAAAUUGAUGGUUUAAUUUUAAUUUUUUAUCCAUUCUAAGACUAGUGCUACACGCUUCAUAUAACUCGACUGCCUUUUCUUAAUUUUUUAUCCAUUUUCUGUUUUGAAAUGUGUGUGAAAGUUGGAGUUGAAUAAGCCUAUAGGUUGAAGCUGUUUAUUGAUCUUGUUCUGCCUUCAAUAGCUGUGAAUUUCAAAUGUGCUCACCAGACAACACUUAGUUGGUGACAGAAAAAAUAUAGGGUGGAUUUUGGGAGAGAGUAGAAGAAAUGAUGGCUUUCUUAUAGUUACUUUUACAUUAAAUAUUUAGAAAACUUCAUUCAUGCUUGUGUUUUACCUUUUUAUAUGUUUUCUGACUGAAUCUUAAACUUGACAGUUCCUCCUUUUUGUUAAUUUAAUAGCUGUUAAUCUCUCUCUUUUCCCUUUUCAGGCAAGAAUUGUUCACCCUGAUAAAAAUCCUGGGGAUCCUAAGGCUGCAGAAAAUUUUCAGGUAAGCACUAAGAACCCGUGUUUUGUUGGAUUCUCAAAACGAAGAUAUAUUUAAUAGAUGUCAUCAUUAACAAAGUUAUUACAUCCUUCUUAGUUCUUACUGUUAGACGUUUUACAGUAUAAAAUAUAGAAGUAUUUAUACAUUUUGAAUCUCUCCCUCUAUUCAGUUUGGUUUAUUUUCUCAAUAUACUUUUCUAAGUCUGCUAUCUUUGUAUAUUUACCAGAAACUUGGUGAGGCUUACCAGGUUUUAAGUGACCCCGGGAAGCGUGAAGCAUAUGAUAAACAUGGAAAGGAGGGAUUACCGCAGUAAGUCUAAAUUAUCUUCCAUUACUGAACAGUAAUUAGCUAAUAAUUGCUAGCAAUUAAUUAAUGCUCCAUCAAAUAGUGAAAUGUUGAUUUUGCAAUUCAAAGAUAACUCGUGAAGGUUAUUGUCAAAAAGAAGUUUCUGGUAUAAUGGUCUAAUCUCUCAUUGAAUUUUCCUUUUCUUGUUACUAUAUCCAGUUGUUGUCAGAUUUAAACCAGAACCAAACAUAUGUAACUGACUAUACUCUGCGUGUGUGUUGCUGAAUCUCUUUAAAUAUUAAUGUGAUUCAAGUCUAGACAAUGAUUUAGAGUUACUGUAAAAUGAAGUAAAAGAAACAACAAGCGAAAAAGAUAGAGAUACAAUAGGCACUUAAAGGGGCUUGCUUCCUCACUGCUGAAAACCACAUCAAUCUUUUUGCACCCCUUUUACCUCCCCUCCUUCUCCCUUGUACUCAGUUUAUCAGAAGUUCACUCUCCGAUAUUUACAGACCUACCAUUUGUGUCCUCUGAUAUCUCAUUCCCGCAUGAUCGAGCAUAGAAAGGUGCCUAACAUGGUGUUUGUUAUGUUACUAUUAGUAUUUGCCAUUGUUGACAACCUCAUAGGCUAUGUUUCUUUUUGUUGAAAGUUAGAAAGCAAGUCUAACCAAACAUAGUGAAACUCAUUGAAGAUAUUUUGUUGUAUUUGCUCAAAAUACCAUAUAGUCAAAUGUUACUGAGAAAGAUUUUGAAAAAAUCUUCUCAAUUAAUCGAGUGUUGUUUAUAGAAAAUCUAUAAUUUGAUCAAGUGUGCUAGUUCUGUGAGUAUUUUCCACUAUGUUGAGGUAUCAAAAUUAUAGAGGAGACCUAAUAUCGUUUUAUUUGAGGGAUGAGAGAAUGAAUUUCUCUGUUUUGUAUUGCACUAGAAUGACAAUUAUUUAAGAGUACAGUAUCUCCAUCUCACGAUUUCAAGACUGAAAUGUGAUACCAUAAAAUCCAGAUCGAUUCUAUAUUAUCUAAAAGGAAACACAAACAAUUCUAGCUAAUUUGCAAUAAUACAAAACAGUAAAAUAAAGUCCUAAAAUUAGUAUAUAACGUAACUCCCAAAAUUAGUAUUAAUCUAUACCAACCAAUUAAGGCUUGUUUAUUUAUGCGGAAUCCACUAAAAUAACUAUUUUAGAUGUUUCAAGAGGAAUCUAAUGUAACAGAAUGUUUUCAUGGAUUGAGAAACCUGCUAAAUACACUGAUAUUUUUUCAGAGAUUCAAUGAUGGACCCUACAGCUGUAUUUGGAAUGAUUUUCGGAAGUGAAGUUUUUGAAGAAUAUAUUGGACAACUUGCACUGGCUUCUUUAGCAUCUAUAGAGAUUGAUGAAGACAUACAGGAUCCUGAAGUUCAGAGGCAAAAAAUUCAAGAAAAGAUGAAGGUAUUUUUUUUGUUCUAGUUCUUUAUGAAGGUUUUCCCAAAUCCUUUGUACUGCUGUCCCUCAUAUUUUAGUAGCUGAAACUGUUUCCUUGUUGUAACCGUAGGCAUGGCAGAAGGAAAGGGAGCAGAAGCUUUCAGUAAUUCUGAAAGACCGGCUUCAAUUAUCUGUUGUUGGUCAAGAAGAAGAAUUCACUGCAUGGGCAAAGUCAGAAGCUCGUAGCCUCUCUAAAGCUGGUAAAUUCCUCUGUUUAUGAUGUAAUUUUAAUAAUGUAUUAUUCAACAAUAGUCCACAGCUCAAAAGUUUCAAUAACCGAAACAUUUUCAUUUUCAAGAGUGUCAAUUUAUUGUCUAUGCCACGUGCAUUCUACACUUCUCUUUCAAUUGGGACCUAUCUUUAGCACUAUUUGAGGUUGUAAUAUACAAGGGACUGAAAUAAAUUAUAAUGAUUUAUGGAUGUAAUAGAAGUUUUCAGUUUUAUUUCACAGAAAUUUGUUUUAGAGGUACAAAUAUUAAGUGUUUUUUUUCAGUUUUGAAAUAUAAUUUGCAUUCUUGAAAGAAAUUAAAACACAUAUUCAUUCUGCUGUAGUUUAGAAUCUUCAAGAAUGCUUCAACAUGCUAUAGAACUUACAUUAGUUUUUUAGCGAAAGGAGAUGUCCAAAUAAUGUCUAAUCUGUAAGCCUAUCAUGCUAGCAAAUCAGGUCUGUUGUUGUCCUGGAUUUCUGUUGUUGAAUUAUUAGGAUUCUUACUAUGCUACAAUGUUAUUAA
rnacentral:lncRNA from 1 species